rnacentral:lncRNA from 12 species
AUUGACAUUGGAAUUCUCGCCUAGAGUCUUGUUUCUUUAGGCCACUUUACAAUGCAAAGCCUGCUGUCUCUCUGAAUACAUCCCUUUCUGCUUAACUUGUUUAGCAUGGAUCCUGUGUCUAUAAUGAAGAACACUGACCCACAGAGAAACUCUCACUACAGUUGUAGCUAUAUAUUUAUUCGUAUGUUCCCUUGUUACCUGGUGUCUCCACCUAGCCUCUGUGCUCUGAAUACGGCACAGGAUGAUCCACAUGUCUAGAGCUCAUUGAGUGGAGCUGGAUUUGGUCUCUGAGCCCUCUCGCUAUCUGAUACUUUCACAAAUGGCUCCUACCUCUGGAAGUUACCCAUUGCUCGGAGUUGUUCCUGGCUGGCUGACUCUCACCUUUAUAAGCAUCAGAGAGGAGGGAGUAGAGAUUGAGGGGACAGAGGGAAAAGAGGAAUCCACACAUCCCAGAAAAGCCCUCCAGAGAGAUAGAUCAUCACCCCAGCAAACAAGACCAAACAGAGAUUCUUCCAGGAUUGUGUGCUGACCAGAAGCAAAAUGAAACUAUUGCAGUGGCUUCUUAGACAAGCUUUGUGAGAGAAAACACAUGGUUAUCUGCAGAGUUGUAAGUGAAAGGUAUGCAUUUAUUUCCUUAAACAGAAGGGAAAUGAGCUCUGUAACUCUGACCUUGUUUUCUUGGAAUAAUAUUCUUGUUUGAUUUAUUCCUUUAGUUUUUACUCAGAAAUGUCGCUCAAGACACAUACCAAUGGUAACUCCUUUUUGGGAAGCUUUUAUCUUUUGUACAAGUCUGAUGUGUUCAGUGAUGAAUUUGGAUGAAAACAAUUUUCAAACAACCCAUAAAUUUAAACUCAUUAGGCACUCAUUAGCACUUGGAGUAAAUAGAAGAAGGGGUAAAAUCUCGAUAUUUUCCCCAAGAGAUAGCAGUUUUCUAUAUUUUUAUGUAUUCUAUUAGAAUGUAACAUCUAAGUGCAUAUUCAGAUAUAUUUUAGAUAUAUAUCACUUCUAGUAACAUGAUUAUAAUUUCCACCAAUACAUAUAUCUUGACUAGAUCCCCAUAGGGGAAAUCUGUUCAUAUUUUCAGUAACUGAGUUCAUUUUUUCAACAGACAAGAAAAUGUCCAGUAUCAAAUAAAUAACGGGUCAUCCGACUCCCA